rnacentral:rRNA from 1 species
UACGAAGGGUGCAAGCGUUACUCGGAAUUACUGGGCGUAAAGCGUGCGUAGGCGGUUUGUUAAGUCCGUUGUGAAAGCCCUGGGCUCAACCUGGGAAUUGCAGUGGAUACUGGCGAGCUAGAGUGCGGUAGAGGAUGGUGGAAUUCCCAGUGUAGCGGUGAAAUGCGUAGAUAUUGGGAAGAACACCAGUGGCGUAGGCGACUAACUGGGCCAUAACUGACGCUGAGGAACGAAAGCCAGGGGAGCGAAUGGG